AACUCAAAGAAAUUGACGGGGGCCUGCNCAAGCGGNGGAGCAUGUGGUUUAAUUCGAAGCAACGCGNAGAACCUUACCAACGUUUGACAUGUCCAGUAUGAUUUCCAGAGAUGGAUUUCUUCAGUUCGGCUGGCUGGAACACAGGUGCUGCAUGGCUGUCGUCAGCUCGNGUCGNGAGAUGUUGGGUUAAGUCCCGCAACGAGCGCAACCCUCGCCUUUAGUUGCCAUCAUUUAGUUGGGCACUCUAAAGGAACCGCCGGUGAUAAGCCGGAGGAAGGUGGGGAUGACGUCAAGUCCUCAUGGCCCUUACGCGUUGGGCUACACACGUGCUACAAUGGCAGAGACAAUGGGCUGCGACCUCGCGAGGGGUAGCUAAUCCCAAAAAGCUGUCUCAGUUCGGAUUGCACUCUGCAACUCGAGNGCAUGAAGGCUGGAAUCGCUAGUNAUCGCGGAUCAGCAUGCCGCGGUGAAUACGUUCCCAGGCCUUNGUACACACCGCCCGUCACACCAUGGGAGNUGUAUUCACCCGANGGCGCUNGCGCUAACCGCAAGGAGGCAGGCGACCACG
rnacentral:rRNA from 1 species